CCUUGCCAUUGUGGUGGUUGACUCCGUGAGAGAAGCAACACACAGUAUCUUCCAUGUUCAUGUUGUGUGCAUUUAUGUAUUUCAAAACCAACACUCUCAUUUCACAUGGAAUCUUCCUGAAUGUAGACGCAAGUACAAUAUCGUAGUGCCAUUUUAAAACUGUCGCAUUGCCUUUUAGGUAUUUCUGUUUCACCUCCCAAAUAAUGAAUCAGAUAUCCAAGAACUAGUUAUUUCUAAUAUCUGUCUGUUUUCACCUCUCAGUUUUCAUAGGGUUCAGAAAUUGUAAUAUUUUCAUUUUUUACAUUUUUUCUCGUUUUAAAAAUGAAAUUAUUCUGCAAAUGUGCAAUGAAAACUGAUUGUGUUUUGUUUUUCACGUGACUGUUAUCUGAUGUUACACAUGGAUAACUACAAUCACAAAACAAACAUGAAGUUCCUGUUACGCUAUCUUAGACUAUGUAAUGGUAAUGGUUAUACAGUUCAUAAGGUGACAAAACAAACAUGAAGUUCCUGUUACGCUAUCUUAGACUAUGUAAUGGUAAUGGUUAUACAGCUCAUAAGGUGACAAAACAAACAUGAAGUUCCUGUUAAUGCUAUCUUAGACUAUGUAAUGGUUAUACAGUUCAUAAGGUGACUUACAUUCAGAAACUCUUUACAUUUUGUGUUCGGUACAACUUGAUUAUGUUUUGUUGUAUGGGACCUUGUCCCGAAAGAGCCAUGAGGGUGUUCUGCGCUCUGUUCAAAAUGGUUAUGACAAUGGUUUAGAUCUGGACCUCCUGCAGAAUCACCAUGUUUAGAGUUGGCCUUGAUUUGUAAUGCACUGAAUGUCACCAGUGUGCUGGAUCUGUCAUGGAGGUUGUAUGUGGGAAGGUUUAUCCUAAAUACUCCUGAUGAAGAAGAUGUGCAGUUGCCCUGUCUAUCAUUUUGCAGAGGAAUCAUGAUUCACAAGGUAGAAAUGAACCUGGAGAAGACCCAGGAGAAUGUUAUUCAGUAUAUUCAGUAGAUGAGAUCUACAACGUAUCAUGUCCAGUACUACCCACACUUCUUCCACUUCUGUCGCCAUCCUUAAUGACACAUACACAAGAUAAGUUGCCUGUCUAGUAGUACUAGUCACAAGGGCUUUUUUCUGUUAAAUGUUAUAUUCAUGAGCAUAACGUCAGAUACCAUUGAUACAAUGGGUUCCUUCCCUUGAUAGUUUGCUAGAGUUCUCAAAAAAUCAAACUGUGAUGAAAGUGUUGUUGUCCUGACAAACACUUUCUACAUAAUCACAAGUUUGGAUGACCCUUGAAAAUUAUCAACAGAAUAGAACCUGUAUAUUUCAUUUCAUUCUUCAUAAUUUUUUUUAUCAUAUAUGCCAAAACACAUUCAAUGGAGAUGCGUAAUUCCUUUUCUCAUUUUUUUCUAUGAUGUUUGUUGACAAAGUCUAUUCUUGUCAGUGCUUGUGCUUGAAAUUUUGUCAUCCUUUUUGUCAUGAAAACUGUCUUGUAACCUCACUUCACACACAAUACGAUUGUGGUUACCACUGUUUCAGUCUUAGGUAGACAGAUGAUAUGACCUUUGCAGGAGUAUUAUUCUUUGUUCUUCUUUCCUUUCUGUUCAUGCACUUGGCUAAGUCUAUAACCUUUGAUAGACAAUGUGCUCGUAUCAAUCCCAUACACUUGGAGGCAUCAGGUCAAAGGGAGAUAACUCUGUGAAAGACUACCUAAUAAUUGUAACAAAAGCUCAAAUGAAGAAAGUGAGAAAAUUCAAAGAUGUCUUUAUUGUGCAACAUUGCAAUAUCUUUGAAUUUCUUCAGUUUAUGGAUUCUCAGUGUAUUAAUAAACAUGUUUUACCAAUGUGCUACUGUGAAGCUUGCAUUCCUGUCAACACAGGUGAACUGAGGAUGGAACUCAAUUAGUUCUUGAUUAUUAAAGGUGAAAUACAAAACCAUAUUUCAGAGAAGUCUUCUGAGAUCUCUGCCAUUCUCUACUAAAUGGCAGGGGCACAAUUAAAAGUCUUCAUCAAUAAACAACCUGCCAGAAUGUGUAUCUAUGUUACUGAUAAUCAUUAUAUGAGCUGAUGGGCACCAGAUUAUGUAACAACUUCAUUAAGUUGAGGUGCAACCUGAGUUUGCUUCCUUUGAAUUAUUCUCACACAAAUUUACACUUAUCUGGUUACAGCAUUCACUGUGUAUGUGAGUUUCAUUCCCCCCAUGGAUUUAUUUGUUGAUUGCUGGUGUUACCCGGCAUGAUGUUGGUGGAAUACAGCUAAAAGUGGCGUAAAACAAUAUUAACUCAUGUCUGAAGCUAAUAUGUGUGCAUAAACACAUCUUGUGAAAUUGAAGUAUCAAUUUGUGUGAUGGCCAGCAUUACCUUUUUAUUAUGAUCAACUUUUAUUUAAUGGUUUAAUUAAUGGUAGAAUUUGGGAAGGGGGCUGCAUACUUACUUUAUGACCAGGGUUAGUAGGAAAAAAAAACAUACCUCAACUCGAUUUAUGUCAUGUGAUGAUACAGGUUCUGGAAGACAUUAGAUAGUGCUCACUGACGACCUUCGAUCCAGGUUUGAAGGUACAGAACACAUGUAGUGAACUGCUUGGAUUGCUCAAUGGAUUCCCUACUUACCUAUACAAUCAUGUAUCGUGUCUGUUUAGUUCAUUAUUACACACUAUGAAUGUGAGUAUAUCACAGGAUCGUGAAAUUCUUGUAUUCACAUUUCCUGAACAAAUUGGUUGAGUUUGUAAUGGCCAGAGAUCAAAAUGUUUCACAGAGACUUCAGGUUUUUUCAGUGAAUCAUGAGAAACGGUCUUCACUGUGAAUCAGGUAUUUGAAUGAAAUUUGUGACAGUUCUCCUAGACUUGCUUCAUGAUCAUAAUUUGACCUGCAGGUUGUCAACUUGUAUUUUUAUAGACCAUCAGGUACUUCUGUCAGCUUCAUCCUUCAAGCCCAAUCAGAUACUUCACACACCUUCAACAUUUUGAUGCAAAGCCCAUUUCUGGUGUCCCCCGCUAUGAUAUUGCUGGAAUAUUGCUAAAAGCAGUGUGAAAGUAAACUCACUCACUCACUCAGCAUUUGGAUGUCACUGAGGUCAUUCCAACAGGUUACUGACAAACAUUGGCUGAAAUGUGGUGUGUGUUGGACUCAUGGUAUACUUUUCGCCUUGUUCUAUCUUCUUUACAAACUGGAGGAAUGUCGGAAAAUAGCUUUGGACAUAAUUCUACAUUACUACUCCACUAGCCUGAAACUUUUACUGAUGAUACUUGAUUCAGACUUUCCAACAAAUAGUAGUUUGUUUUCCUAGAGCCCUAAAACAUGUUACAUGGGAUAUCAAUCACUCAUUUGAAACUUCCUUUCAGAGGUAAAAUGGUUCUUUAAGCAGAGACCAAAAACAUAUUCUGUCUUUGGCAAAGAUUGCCGGUGUGCGUAUUAAUUGAUUGUAGCAGCACUAAACAUCAAGGACCUUGGUCAGUCUAAGCUGUCUUCCUGUUCCAAGCCAUUCAGUAACAUGUGAAAAUCUGUCUCUGGUUUAAGUAACUGCACUCUUGGUCCUUGAAGGGUUGUAAUGACAGUAUGGAUGUUCAAAGACAAAUGCUAUGUCAAGAGAGCUGGUACAGUGUGCAGAAAGAAGGUUAAAGUCAGCAGGGUCAGCUAAAAUACUCACCACUUGAAGACGAUCACCUGCUUGUCGUCUACACACAAAAUACAGAACACUGUGUUCAAGAAGGGUUACAUUUUGUAAUUUUGUAUGUAUAUUGUACGUUGUGUAUUGUGAGUGUUUUUUGUGGAUUGUCUUCUCGUUAGAAUUUUCUAAUUCUAGUCUUGACAAUACGGAACAAUACAGAAACUGCUUUCAAAAAGCAAAUAUUCAUGAUUUUGGUGAUUUUUGUUGAAAGAUUAGUAUGAUGAGAUAUCCACGCCAUGUAGAGAAAUAUGUACCAUUUGGACUGGUUUGGGCACCUCCAGCCAUAAACCCUCAAAAGAAGAAUUGUCAGUGUUCUAUGAAUGAUAUCAUUACCAAAGUUAGAAGACCUAAGAAUAUGGUGUGUCCCAAAUAAAACCGGUUCUCUUGCCCAAAGUCAUCAUUCUCAUGUGCACUGUCGUUCUGUGCUGUGUUCUUUCAACAUGAAAUCCUAGGUUUGUUCUCUACAGAUAUAGCACAAAGGUCUGUUGAAAUGUGUGUAAGGUGCCCAGUUCAGUAAACAUUAGGAGAAACCCAAGAUAUUUCUGAAUGUCAUAGAAGGUUUAAAAGUCUGAUGUCGGAUGCAGUACUGAAAUUAUUACAAAGCCGUGUCCCAGUGCAGAAUUACAUCAGCUGAAGUUGUGGCACAUUGUAAGACACUUGUAUUUAUACAGUUCAUAUCAUCUCAUCUUUCAAAGUACACAGGCCAACCACAGCCUGCCUUGGCUGUCUCUGCAGUAACCCAGACAAGAUUUUGUUGAAUGGACAGCUUGCAGACCAGUUACGCCCCCCACCAUCCACAAACCUAACGAGUGGCAUAUCUGACAUCUAACUUUUGAACUGAACCCUACAAAAUGUGAUAUAGGUGAGUGUUUAAGAAUGUGCAGAAGAAGAAACGGUGCUUCAGAUGUUUUAAGUAAGGUAAAGAAAUAUUUUAUUUCUGAUACCAGAAUUUAUACUGCAUGGCACCAAAGGUAGAUGUGUUGGGUUGCAGACCAUCAAGCCGUGUUCAGUUGUCAUACUACACAAGUGUUGUCUUUGUAACGCUUGUAUUACAUGUAACUUAUAUAAAUAUGUUUGUAAGAUAUUAAACACACAUUAUAUAUAAUACUUGUAAAUUGAGCUACUUUUAGGGCUUGUAGUCCUCCCGCUUGUUUUGUUUUGUAUAAAUGAAUAUAUUAUUUCAUUGUUACCAGUGCUACCCAUUUUCCUAGGAAUCAUUUACUGAAUUGGUUUGACGCUCUCAUUCAACCUACAUUUAUUUAUGCCAAUCCUUUUAUAUUGUGAAACAGCUGUGACCCAUGGUAGAGUGCAAGUGUUAACAUGGUGUGGUUCAACAAAGACUUUGUCAUACACUUUGUACAAAAUCCCAGCUUGGCUGUUAUGUGCAGAAUGAUAUUCAUAAACUUGUAGUUGCAUCUAAAAAUGAUGGAUGAGAUAAAUCUGACAUUAUGUAGACAAUCGAAGACCUCUAUCCAAGGAUACACCCAUGUUCAGAAACCUAUUCCUGCCUUGUAAAGCUAAUUCUUGAGGAAUGAUAAUUCUCUAAUGUAUCACAAUUUGAUUUUCUUCUUUGUAUACACAAUUAGCUUGGUUCUGAUGCACUAUGUAUUGUUUCUGUAUUCUAUAUACAAAAUGCUUCUAUUUGUCUGCUCUCUAACUACUGAUACUAUUCACAACUGGGCAUAAUCAUAACUAUGUUACUCCUAAUGCAGGUAAGUGCUUAUCAUUUUCAUGAAAUAGGUAUUGUGACAUAACAGUAAUGUUUCAGCAGUACUAAACGUAAUGUCCCUUGAAAUGUUCAACUGACUUUGUUAGAAGUGAAAGCUCUUCAACUAUUCCCUUUAUGAUGAACAGGGAGUGUUGCCUCGUCCCAACAACUACCUGGGUUUGAUAUGGAACAAUGAUUUGGCUGGAAAUGAAUUAGUGUAAAAUCCUCACUCACUAUCAUGAGGACUGGAAACAUUGGGAGACAGGAUCUCUUAGCUGCAGUAUUUACCAUCUUCAUGCGUCACAGAUCAUAUUGUCUUAACGCACACAAUGCAAAAUCUGAACUUUGUGUCCUUGGUUCAGUCCCAGCGAUAACACUUAGAGGUAUCAUUUUUUGAAUUCAUCAGUUCAUUUAUAAAGUUAGCCCCCAGACUCAAAUGUGAAUGCAGUGAAUCCCAGGAACUGGAAGCCCAGGCCACAUUCCACUCAUAAAGUUAAAUAUGAUUGUGAAUCUUCACCUGAGUUCUGGGACAGAUUUUACACAUAUUGACUGUUGUAUGAAAGUAUGGUUGCAAAAA